GGCGGUACGAGUACUUCCGGGUGACAGAGGUCAGCCCCGGCAAGAUGGCGGCCCCCAUGGAGCUCAGCUGCUGGGGAGGAGGCUGGGGUCUCCCUUCGGUCCACAGCGAGUCCUUGGUGGUGCUGGCUUAUGCCAAGUUUUCUGGCGCGCCCUUGAAAAUCAAUAUUAUAGAUAACACCUGGAGAGGGUCAAGAGGUGAUGUACCAAUUUUGACAACUGAAGACAGCAUUGUUUCUAAGCCUGCAAAAAUUCUAAACUUUCUAAGAAAACAGAAAUAUAAUGCUGACUGUGAGCUCUCAGCAAAACAAGGGGCAGACACACUGGCUUACAUCGCUCUCCUGGAAGAGAAACUUCUCCCUGCUGUGCUUCACACCUUCUGGGUGGAGAAUGAGAACUACUUCACCGUGACAAAGCCGUGGUUUGCCUCUCGUAUCCCUUUCCCUCUGAGUUUAAUCCUGCCGGGAAGGAUGUCUAGAGGAGCCCUGAAUAGGAUUCUCUUGACAAGGGGAGAACCUCCCCUCUACCAUGUCCAAGAAGUGGAAGCACAGAUAUAUAGAGAUGCCAGGGAGUGCCUAAAUCUCCUAUCAAACCGAUUGGGAACAUCUCAGUUUUUCUUUGGUGACACUUCACUUACAGAAGCAUCUGAAACAGCUCUGCAACCUGUGCCGCUUCUGUGAUGACAUCCUGGACAGCUACUUUAGGCCAGGCCCUGGAGGUGAGUCAGCAUUUCAUCAGCUAAUGCUUAUUCAAAUAGUUUCCUGACAGUGCCGAAGCAGAACAAGUUUGUGGAUUGUCUUAGAUCCUGGUUCAUGGCUUCAAGACCUGAUGGUUUCCCAGUCUUAUCUGCCCCCGUGUUGUUAUUUACAUGGAGAGAGAGGCAUUUGACUCCCACUGUCCUCUGGACUUUACCCUCUGUGUGUAUCUACCUAUAAGUAUUGCCCCCUGAAGUGAGUCAUUUUCUUCUAAAAGGUUAAAGCACACGUGUUGAGUCCCUGCUGAAGAGUAGUGUUUGUCCUCAUGCGAGUGGGCAGUCACUUUAAAUGACUCUUACCUGCUGCUUCCAGCAUUUUCCUUCAUGCACAGAAAUCAGUAGCGGAGUGACUUUGGUGAGGUGCAGUCCCAUGAUUCUACUUGAAAACUGAUUGCACCAAACUGGAGAUCUAGUAAGUAGAGGGCUCUUGGACUUAGGAUGGAGUUCUCUGUGACGGGGGCCUUGUGCUUAAGGGACUGGGGCACGAAGUUUGCAUCUGUGGAGAUGGCUGAAAUUGUCCUUUUAAGAAACAGAAGUUAUGAAGUACCUGGCUUAGGUAGACAGGCUGUUUUUUUGUCGUGAGUUAUGUGCUUUACAGACAGGGGGGUCUAGGACAUGGGACAUUAGGGAACCAAGAGGCAUCCAGCCUUGUCACUCUUGAGCAGUGGCUAGCAAGCCUGACUGACGACACAGCUCAUUUAUACCUUCCAAAUUAGAAUGUCCUGGGAUCAAGCUCAGAAAGACCUACUUUAAAAAAUCCUUUUAAAUGUCUUGGGCGCCUGGUGAGUAGAUGGUAGGAAACCGCUGCCUUAGCAAGCUGCCUGUAGUGUUCUGACCAGUGGCUGAUGUGUAAUGAUUCGAGAGAGGCAGCAUAUAUGUGAGACUACCUUGCCUUUCCUAACCUCUGUGGCUGGCUGCAUGUCAUGUUGCGCAGGGUCCUCCAUAGAUACAGUUUGUGUUUUCCUUUCUGAUUUCUUCUGGAGCGCUGUUGUCCCUCCUAACUUUCCCCUUGAGCCCAAAAUGGGUUUUUCUCUCCAUUUCUCUUUUGUUUUCUUUGGGGGAGGGAGCAGAGCAAUUGGGAGGGUGGGUAAACAGAAAAGCAUUGUUUUCAACCUUAAACAGUGUGAAAGUCUUUCAAAGUUCCCUUUCUUUCUCUGAUUUCUCUCCUGGCUUCUCAGGUGUCUCCCCAGCUGGACAAGAAAUGGUAGAUGCAAACCUGCAGAAGCUCACGCAGCUUGUAAAUAAGGAGUCCAACUUAAUUGAGAAGAUGGAUGGCAACCUCCGCCAAAGCCCUCAGCUUCUUCCUCGGAAGCUGCCGACCCUCAAACUGACUCCAGCAGAAGAGGAGAGUAAUUCCUUGCAGCUGCUGUCACCCUGACAGUCACAGCCAGUUGCAGCUGGUCUAAUGAUUGUUGCAGUCAUUGCUGAUGCCAAGUGCACAGAGACUCAAAGAAUGCUGUAAUAGGUUUAAGACUAGAGCAGAGGGAGCUGUAUCUGACUCUUUUUAAAUUAGGAAAGCUAUUAUUUUAGCUUGGCAGUGCAUUUUAAAUAAAGGUGAAUGCUAAGCGAACUGGGUGGGUGGGUGGGCAGGACAAGCCAAUGGUACUGUAUAUAAAAAUCCUGCCUUAACCUUGGCAGAUCUUUGCCUUUGGUUCAGGUGUUGCUGACCAAAAGCUGCAAUUCUGUUGUGAAUGUACAUUUUUAAUGUAUUUAAGUUAAUUUAUUAACUUAGUUUUUCUUAGACUUGUCUCAGUACAUAAUAUGUGGCUUUUUGGCUGAGACCUUAUUCUUUUAAGAAGUCUGAUGCCGAUUUUAGGAACCAGGAAAAAUAGAAAUUAUUUCAAUAGAAAAGCCUAUAUUUAAUUUUAAAAAGCAAUGAGGAAUAUGCUUCUUAAUUGUUCUCUCAUAAAUCUGCUCCUUUGGCAGUUUACUGCUACAUAUGCAAAUGUUAAAGGUGGUUUAUAUAAUACCCCUGAUAGCGCACAUGCGCAUGCACGCACGCACACAAGCCAGUGUGACUAAGUACUUGCUGAUAGGUUUGCUCUAAGCUAGCAGAGAUGAACAUGGCAGCCUUAGACCUGUGUAUUUAGUACACCAUUGCUUACGUGUCUCACUCUUAUAUCAACUCCAGAACUGGAAGUCUAGCUGUCUACUGUAUUGUUAUUGUGCUCACCUAACUGUUCAGCCUCCUUGGGAUGAGCCGUGGCGAGCGUCUCAGAUCUGCUCCCGUGUGUCGGGUCUCCGUGAUCCAUUUGACUCAAAGCAGUUUGUUUCCUAAUACGCAUAUCAUGUAGUCACACUUUCUGACAAACUAUUAUUUCCUGUGCAUUUUUAAUUAGAGUUGAAGGAUCCAAAGGAAUGAGUCAAUAGCAGGUUUCUCAGACGAUUUACAGUUAUUGGUUGUGAAUGAGCCGUUCAAGGAUUUGUUGUGUGGUAGUUUUACAUAUAAUAGAAACUUGCUGAUUUUAGUGGCCAACGUGCUUCUGUUAUUGUAAAACUACUUCUGGGAUUUUAAAAAUAGGACCAUGUUUGGGAUUAGUGUCUUACAAGAUUACUGUGGUGCUCAGAAAAUGUUGCCAAGUUCUGCAGAAACCAGGCUGUGUUGUCUAGAGACUCGGCUACUGCGAGCAGAGCGGAGCUCAGCUGCAUUUGACCUACAUCGCCCCAGGUUGCUCUGUUUUUGGUAGAUGUAAGUCUUAGGUCACUGUAAAUACUCAUUCUUGAAGCUUUAAAUAAGACACAGGUAGCCCUCACGGUCCCAUCCACCUCUGUGAGUGCAUUUGCAUUUAGGACAUGUACUCAACGAGUUUCACAGAGAUGCUUUAACAAAGGGUGUUUGUGUGUGUGUGUGUGUGUGUGUGUGUGUGUAUGUGUGUGCAUAGAGUGUGCGAUGUAGGGGUGAAUGUGUGCUAGUGAGUGUGGGUUUGAGCAUGUGUGUGUGAGUGAAUGUGUGUAGGGUAAGUGUAUGUGUGUAUGUGUGUGUGGUGUAUGUGUGUACGGGAGGUGUGAGUGUAUGUAUUUUUGCGAUCUAAAACAAGUUACAACAAUCUGAAAUCUGAGUAUAUCUGAGUAUUGUGUUUUAAAUGUAAUGAUCAAGAGGCUUCGUUGUCUCUAGGAUUGACUUUAUAUUGAAGAAGGAUGGUUGACACAUUAGUCAUAUAUCUGCUUAUGCUUUAAUCAGGGUUAGUCAUUUUCAACUAGUAUUAAUGGUAAACCUUCCAAAAAGUAUUUGAAGUAGUUUAUAAUUGUAAAAUGCAUGUAAGAGUAGGACAAUUCUUCUUGAAAGCUGACAGUUCCUAAGAGAAAGAACCGUAUCAACAGAACGAGACCUCACUCUGUGGGUGAUGUUAGAAGGUGAUUCUGAGGUAAGUUCUGCUGAGGAAGGAGCAGGGGCUUACAUGAUAGAAGAAUGCAGCAGGCCAUGUUCAGACGACUCCAGACUUCAACCAGGGAGUUACUGUGCUGUGUGUGCACCAAACUCUUCCUAAUCAUUUUAGAAUAACAAGCACUCAUUCUGUUUAGUGGAGAGGAUGUCUGUAAAGUGACUUGUUUUUUUUUUUUUUAUGGUCACACUGCUCUGAACUGCCUUUAGCCUUAUAUUCUGUAGCCCAUGUGCUUCAAAACCACAUUUCUGAGCUGCAGAACCUUAGUUAGCUGAGUAAGAACUUAGAUGUUAGUACUGAGUUCAGCUCUAUUUGUCUAAGUAAAUGGGACAGGAGGAAGCUGUAACUGAGCAUAGAAUACUUCAGGGACCAGGCACACUGAGAAGCUCUUAGAAGGAGGUAGUUCCUCAGACUGGACAAAGGGCCUUGGUGACCCUGUCAGGAUGUAUGUGCGUGAGUUUGCUGGAGAAAAUGGUCCACAGCCCUGACCAAACACUGUGAGCCAUGGGUUUCAGAGGUGGUGGUAGCAGCCAGCAUGGGAACAGGGAUUAUGCCCAUUUUUAAUUUUGUUGAUUUUACAGAGCUAGAAAAAAAAUUUAGUUUGCUAAUUCCCACAGGAAAACACCCUCAGUGAGCACUGUCAUCACAGUGGUGACCUAACACUGAAGAAACCACAGACAAGGGCAUGAGGGGACCCCACAAAAGGCUCACAGUAGCAAAUGUCGGGGUACUAGAGGACCUGAUACUUUUUGGAAGCAACCAUUUUUAUUUCCAGUUAUAAUCCCUAAAAAUUUAUAACUGAUAAAUACAGUAACACAGGGAACAAAGAUACUUAAGUUAAAUCUAAGUUAAAGUGUUUUCAAAGUUUAAAAAUGGGCAAAAUGAACAUCAACAGAGGCAGAAACUUGUGGAAUAUUGUAAGAAAACCACUUUGUUCAGGUGGUAUUUGAAUUGGGUACUGCAUCUCAAGACAUGCACCUACCAAGCUUGCUCAAAAUGAUUUUUUUUUUUUGGUAGGGUCAACAGUUUUUCAACAGCCACAACAAUAACCACUCAAAGGCAGAAUAUAAAUAUUUAAAUAUGCGUGGGAGCUGAAUGGAUGGCUCAGUACUUGAGAGAACGCACUGCUCUUGCUGAGGACGUGGGUUCAGUUCCCAGGACCUCUAGCAGGGGGUUUACAACCUUCUGGAACUCUAGCUCCAGGGGAUCUGGCGCCCCCUUCUGGAAUCCAUGAGCACCUGUACUCAAAAUGUUCCUGUACCCACCCCACCCACACACACAUACACAUAAUUAACAGUAAAAUAUAUUUAAAUAUACUUAGGAAGCUGAAUGAUGGGGCCAUGGAAUAUCUCCUUCCAUUUUUGUAAUGCUUUAAGAGUCUAUAAUUAUUCCAAAAUAAAAGGAUUUUCAAAAAGCAAACCUAAUAGAGUAAGUUCGUCACUAUCUACAUAUCUCUAUCUUAAAAUUUAACACUGCAGACUUAGUAUUCAGUUCCAAAUGAGAACUAGAUUAUAUACUGAUAAUUUUUUUAUUUCACUCUUGAGUUUAAAGAAAAAGGGGCUCAGGUUUCUAACAUGCUUCCCGGAAGAUCGCCCUUGCCUUGUGAGAAUGUUUCUAACAACCUCACACCAAAACGGAUUUUCCAUUAAAAUAUCAAGAUGCUUAUGAUUUUACGUUUCUAAUGUGUGUUAACUGAAGCAUCACUGGGCUUGAGAGUGCUGCCCGUCAUGAUGAGAAGGCCAGGGGGCCUUUGGUUCUUUGUUAGUGUGGAAGUUGCUGUUGGUGUUGCAAUCGCUGGGACCCCAGGAUGCUUGUUUGGCACUCAGUGCUGUUGUGUCCAAAGCAAAUGAGGACUCUGGGAAUUUAAAAGGCUUAAAAAUAUUUUUCCAGAAAAACAGUCCGUGGAUUACUUAAAAGAAUUAACAUUCUUAAACAGCACCAUGUGAUGGAAGGGGAGCUGGAGCUGAUUGCUUGUGAGUAGUGAAGGUGCGUUGUGAUAGAGGAUCGUGCCAACAGAAUAAGCAGCUUCUUUCAAAGGGGAAACAGGCUAGUUGUUUUUAUGCCCUCGUUAUUAUUAAUCUGAAGUUAUAAGGUAAAAAACAUUUAGUUUCUGCAAGAGUAGAUUCUAAGAGGGAAUUUGGCAGAAUAUGUUGUUCUACUAAGUUUGGAAAAUGCUGUAUUGUGCAGAGCUGACUUGCUGUAGGCUUUUCAGAGCCUUUGAUGUGUAAAUGUGUGUUUUUGGUUUCUAGCUUCAGAGAUGUUUUACUUUAUUAGCAAAGAGGACAGACUGAACAAGGCUGCGCGCAGGCGCAUACUCAUCCCCCAGGGGGACUCAUUGUCUCCAGUAAGCACCUCCACUUAAUACCACUUCCCUAACUUAUUUUACUGAGGAUUUUUUAAAAGUCGAUGUUUUAUGGGAUUUGUGUUCUGAGAAAUGUCCUUAGGAGAACAUUGAGGAUUUGUUGUCUGUGCUCAUUACAAAGUUUCUGCUUUGAGUGUUUCUCUGGUGAUGGUAAGGGCGACUAAACAAGCUCCAUUUCUCCCAGAGUCUAAACCAGCUCACCAGUGAGGCCAUGGCGUUUUGUCAGCCUCUGCAGCAUAUAUACACAGUCGCAGGCUCGAUGCUCCAGGGUUUGGAUGUACAUUAGAAGCACAACUUGCCGUGCGGUUUGGGUGCUGGAGUAAUGGUGAGCAACCAACCACAGGAAAAGCUCUUGGACCUUAGUCCUGACGCUUCGGUUUUCCACUCGAAGAUUAGAGCAAUGCCUGUAAUCAUGUAGUUUACAUAUCCCAGAUCUUUGGCGAUCACUGGAAGUGCCCUGCCAGAGUUUGCAUCAGCCUCUGAGAGUCAUUGGAGAAGGAGAAGGCCAUUCUGGCUGCUUGUUCUUUGGUCUGUGGGCUGCUGGCGUCUUGAUCUGAUGGCGGACGGGUGUAUACAAGCCUUUAAAUGCAUAAAGAUGAUUUGGGUUUCUCUUACGUCUUAUUGUUUUAUAAAAUAGAAACCAUCCUUAAGUGAAACUGAGGUUUUGUAGCUUCACUUUAGCUUUCUGGAAGAUCAACAGAGGAAGGGACAAGAGCUGCAUAUGAUGUUUAUUGGCUCCGUCUCCCAAGGCAGUCUCUGGAUGGGAAACAACGUAAGCAUCUGUUCUAGUGUGCAAAUACCAUAGCCUUGCCUACUGUGAAUGUAUUUUACCUAGAGCUGAUGUAGAAAUACCCAGAAGUGGAAAUGAUGGUCACUGUUAAGAAUGUAUUCUGACAAAUGAGAAACUGGAUAUAAUCUCAAAAUAGCUAUUUUCUCAAUAAAAUUUCAAAUCAUUGGACUGUUUGUUAA